rnacentral:tRNA from 1 species
CAGAGAAUAGUUUAAUAAAAUAUUAGUUUUGGGAAUUAAAGAUAAAGAAUCAACUCUUUUUCUCUGA